AUCAAUCACACCGUGUUCUGCGCUCACUUCUCAUCAACCACCACUUUACACAAACACUACCCUCAAUCCUCAUUGCCAACCAACAUACAGCUCUAUCUGUUACUCUUCCUGCCCCCUCCUCUUAUCUCUUUUUUCACCAUUCAGAUUUGAGUCCUUUCCAUUUUCCUAAUUCCCUCCUUUCCAUAAUCAGCUUUUCUUUGGUUUCACGUUUUGCAACACAUACAAAAACACAUUUGUACAUUUUUUAAUAUGUUUUUACCGCGAUUUUUACAAGCUCUAAAUACUAACUUCUUUAUUAACAUAGUUUUUUUUUUAUCGUGAUUUCAAUCAAACUUCGUUUUGCAAAAGCUGUACCAUAUAAACACUCAAUAAAUAUGCAACUCCCUUGAAA
rnacentral:lncRNA from 1 species